CAGUAAUAAUAACGAGAGGGAUUAUUUUUUCUUUUUUGUGCACAGAAAAAAACCAGGUCUCAAGAAAACGAACGUGAGACAUCAAAAAGCAGAGUUUGAGAGCAAAAAGAACAGAAACCAAAGAGCGUCGAGAGAAGAAGAAGGGUCACAAUGGGAAUUCUGUGAUAAAGGCUGCUCUUCCUUAUUGGGUUUAUCAGUUUUAUAUCGUCUGGUUUCGACAAAUUUGCGGUUUAUGGAAUCAGCCAGUUGAUUCGAGUGCGGGAAUUUUGGAUUCUGGGAAAUUUGGAUUUAAUUGUAAUUUGGGAUCGGUUUCAGUCGAAGCACAAGAGAUGGCAAAGUGCCAGUCAUCACUGUAGGGAGUUAAAGACGAUAUCAAGUUCUCGGAACUAGACUACUGGAUUGCAGUGAACCUUGUGAUAGUGGCAAAUGAGUGUUUCAUAAUGAGCAUGCUCGGGUGGGAAAGUUGUCGAUGGGCACCCCUGACAACAAACUAUCCGAGCUUGUUGACAUAGUGAAAUCCUGGAUCCCUCGGAAAACUGAGCCAGCAAAUUUGUCAAGGGAUUUCUGGAUGCCCGAUCAGAGCUGUCGGGUAUGUUACGAGUGUGACUCCCAGUUUACAGUUUUUAACCGCAGGCAUCAUUGUCGACUUUGUGGCCGAGUUUUUUGUUCCAAGUGUACUGCAAACACCAUUCCGGCACCAUCUGAUGAACCAAGUACUAGCCGGGAAGAGUGGGAGAGGAUCAGGGUAUGUAAUUAUUGUUUCAAGCAAUGGGAGCAGGGGAUAGCACCUGUUGAUAAUGGGACGAGUGUGCCCAGUUCUGGUCUCAGUCCAUCACCAUCUG